rnacentral:rRNA from 1 species
UACGGGGGGGGCGAGCGUUGUUCGGAAUUACUGGGCGUAAAGGGCGCGUAGGCGGUUCGCUAAGUUGGAUGUGAAAACUCUGGGCUCAACCCAGAGCCUGCAUCCAAAACUGGCGGGCUAGAGUUCUGGAGGGGGUAGCGGAAUUCCUGGUGUAGCGGUGAAAUGCGUAGAUAUCCGGAAGAACACCUGUGGCGAAGGCGGCUUUCUGGGCCUUACCUGACGCUGAGACGCGAAAGCGUGGGGAGCGAACCGG